rnacentral:rRNA from 1 species
AUUGAACGCUGGCGGCAUGCCUUACACAUGCAAGUCGAACGGCAGCACGGGUGCUUGCACCUGGUGGCGAGUGGCGAACGGGUGAGUAAUACAUCGGAACGUACCUUAUCGUGGGGGAUAACGCAGCGAAAGUUGCGCUAAUACCGCAUACGCCCUGAGGGGGAAAGCGGGGGACCGUAAGGCCUCGCGCGAUUAGAGCGGCCGAUGUCUGAUUAGCUUGUUGGUGAGGUAAAAGCUCACCAAGGCGAUGAUCAGUAGCUGGUCUGAGAGGACGAUAGGCCACACUGGGACUGAGACACGGCCCAGAGUCCUACGGGAGGCAGCAGUGGGGAAUUUUGGACAAUGGGGGCAACCCUGAUCCAGCAAUGCCGCGUGAGUGAAGAAGGCCUUCGGGUUGUAAAGCUCUUUUGUCAGGGAAGAAACAGCAGCUCUAACACAGUCUGCGAAUGACGGUACCUGAAGAAUAAGCACCGGCUAACUACGUGCCAGCCGCCGCGGUAA